rnacentral:piRNA from 1 species
UACGCUUUCCACUCGGCCCACGUGGG